rnacentral:rRNA from 1 species
UACGAAGGGGGCUAGCGUUGUUCGGAAUUACUGGGCGUAAAGCGCACGUAGGCGGAUAUUUAAGUCAGGGGUGAAAUCCCAGAGCUCAACUCUGGAACUGCCUUUGAUACUGGGUAUCUUGAGUAUGGAAGAGGUAAGUGGAAUUGCGAGUGUAGAGGUGAAAUUCGUAGAUAUUCGCAAGAACACCAGUGGCGAAGGCGGCUCACUGGCCCGAUACUGACGCUGAGGCACGAAAGCGUGGGGAGCAAACAGGG